UACGUAGGGUGCAAGCGUUGUCCGGAAUUAUUGGGCGUAAAGAGCUCGUAGGCGGUUUGUCGCGUCUGCUGUGAAAACUGGAGGCUCAACCUCCAGCCUGCAGUGGGUACGGGCAGACUAGAGUGCGGUAGGGGAGAUUGGAAUUCCUGGUGUAGCGGUGGAAUGCGCAGAUAUCAGGAGGAACACCGAUGGCGAAGGCGGCUCUCUGGGACGGUACUGACGCUGAGACGCGAAAGCGUGGGGAGCGAACAGG
rnacentral:rRNA from 1 species